rnacentral:rRNA from 1 species
UACAGAGGUCUCAAGCGUUUGUUCGGAUUCAUUGGGCGUAAAGGGUGCGUAGGCGGCGCGGUAAGUCGGAUGUGAAAUCUCGGAGCUUAACUUCGAAACUGCACUUGAUACUGCCUCGCUUGAGUACUGGAGAGGAGACUGGAAUUUACGGUGUAGCGGUGAAAUGCGUAGAUAUCGUAAGGAAGACCAGUGGCGAAGGCGGGUCUCUGGACAGUUCCUGACGCUGAGGCACGAAGGUCAGGGGAGCAAACGGG